rnacentral:rRNA from 1 species
UACAGAGGGGGCAAGCGUUAUUCGGAAUUAUUGGGCCUAAAGCAUCCGUAGCCGGUUUUACAAGUCCUCCGUUAAAUCCAGCUGCUUAACAGAUGGGCUGCGGAGGAUACUAUAAGACUAGGAGGCAGGAGAGGCAAGCGGUACUCAGUGGGUAGGGGUAAAAUCCGUUGAUCCAUUGAAGACCACCAGUGGCGAAGGCGGCUUGCCAGAAUGCGCUCGACGGUGAGGGAUGAAAGCUGGGGGAGCAAACCGG